CGGCUGUAGCUAAAUCGAAUCAAACAUGGCUGAGAAGCUAACUGGCCGGUUGUCGUGAUCGGUUUCUUUAUCGAAAUCUCCGUCGACUAAUCUGCUUACCGAGCUUCUUACAUUU
rnacentral:snoRNA from 2 species